GAUGAACGCUGGCGGCGUGCCUAAUACAUGCAAGUCGAACGAAUCUUCUUCGGAAGAUGAGUGGCGAACGGGUGAGUAAUACAUAGGUAACCUGCCCCUGUGCGGGGGAUAACAGGAGGAAACUCCUGCUAAUACCGCAUAGCCAUGAGCACCGCAUGGAGCUCAUGCCAAAUAUCCUUCAGGGGAUAGCGCAGGGAUGGACCUAUGGCGCAUUAGCUUGUUGGCGGGGCAACGGCCCACCAAGGCAACGAUGCGUAGCCGGCCUGAGAGGGCGGACGGCCACAUGGGGACUGAGACACGGCCCAGACUCCUACGGGAGGCAGCAGUAGGGAAUUUUCGGCAAUGGGGGAAACCCUGACCGAGCAACGCCGCGUGAGCGAAGAAGGCCUUCGGGUCGUAAAGCUCUGUUGUAAAGGAAGAACGUCGCAUGCAGGAAAUGGCGUGCGAGUGACGGUACUUUACCAGAAAGCCACGGCUAACUACGUGCCAGCCGCCGCAGUAA
rnacentral:rRNA from 1 species